GACAGUGUCCCCCCUCCCCGAUGUUAGAGGCCCUCCCUUUCCUGAUGUACCCCCUGUGCUGCUGUUGGUUGAUUCUCAGUGUUAGUAGUUUGUGAGCCAUGCCUGCCAUGGACCCCAAAGGGGGGCCGUGCCUGUGGCGGGCUGGGAGUGGAAUUUCCCUGGGUCAUAGGGUUUUUGCCCUCCCUCCUAGGCUGGAUGGACAGGAUUGUGUGUGGGACUCCUUGGAGUCCCAAAGGGGGAAAUAUAUGGAAUAUUAUUUAGCACUAUAUAACAUAGAAUACAAGUAUUAUGAUAUUAUUAAAAAGUGUGUCAAAUAUCCAUGAUGUAAUCAUUACAAUAUAAACAUUGCUUUGUGUUGAUUACAAUAUAAUCAACUGAGUAUGUAUUUGCACCUUUUGUUAGUCUGAGAUUCUGUUAUCUACUUUAUGUUAGUCCUGAAUCUAUGAAUAUUCUUUUAUUAACGUAUAUUUUAUCACAAUGUUAAAGGAUAAAUAUAUUAUCAACCUUUUAGUCAGACAAUGUGUAAAAGGCUGAAACUGCCUAGGUUUACUACUGAAGGAAGGGAUUCGCCUGAGUUCACCCGAAGUUCACGGCUGAGCAUUUUUAAAAAACCAAGUGGAGCUGCUCGUGCCACCAUUAUGUUCAGCCGAGAGACCAAACUGUAAAAGAAAUGAUGGACAAACUUGUCACCUAGGGGUGUGGAUUAAGGGAAAAAACAAUUAUUGUGAAUGGCUGAAGGAAUGAUGAUGCUUAAGUGACAAGAUAUUGUUAAAUGAUAAGAACUUAUAAAAAUUGGUGUAAAACAGUACUGGACACACUUUUACGUGUCCAGCCUUGGUUGUAACUUUAUUGUUGCAAUAAAGACUGAAUUCUGGAUACUGCACAA